ensembl:snRNA U6 U6 spliceosomal RNA
GUGCUCAGUACAGCAGCAAAUAUACUAAAAAAUGAAUGAUACAAAGAUUAACAUGGCCCUUGGGAAAAAUAACACACAAAUUCAUGAGUUAUCACACAUUUUU